rnacentral:misc_RNA from 1 species
AUGAGUGGUGUUUGGUAUGUUACGGGUGGUUGGCUCUUUGCUUGCGCAACAACUUCCACCUGGCAUACCACUUCAGUUGUUUGGUUAGGAUUGUAUCUCCUGGCCAGACUGUCGGUUUCUGUGUUGCCUACCUAAGCUAUGGUAUUGUCUUGGUCGAACAUAGUUGUUUUCGUCUUGUGUCAUUCUUAUGGCAUCAGACGAACCAUGAAGCAGUCUCUUUGAUCCACAUUGUUGAUGCCUGCAUUGAUGUUGUGGCCCAUUGAGCGUUGCUUGGAAUCCUGGAUAUGGAAAACGAUGUGGGCAUGGGGUCUCAUGGGAUCCUUGUUUUGCCCUCAUUUAGCGUUUGCGCCUCUCUUAACAYGGCUUACUGUCUUGCCCGAAUUGGCUUUUGCCAUCGGGAGGGUUUGUCAAAGAGUGGCGCAUYUCCUUGAAUGACCUGCCUGUCCCGCAUGGGCUUGUACCAGCGGGCGGGUUAUGUCAAUGAGGAAUGCUACCUGGUUGAUCCUGCCAGUAGUCAUAUGCUUGUCUCAAAGAUUAAGC